CUUUGUUCCCCACUCCGUGGAAACUUUAUUAAACGCUCAGCACACACAACAUUAUUCAGCAAGCUGAUUAACUUCUCAUGAAAUUGUUUUGCUCUCACUGAACGUAACUUUUUCACAGGACUGAGCUUCAAGAAAGCCCUAUGGAUAAUCCUGAUUUUAUAUUAUUUACCGAUGGGUCAUAUCUGUGAGGACCUCAUGGAAUGUACCAGGCUGACCUUGCCACUGUUUCUCCAGUGUAUAUCCUUGAAAACACUUGCAUAAUGUCUUUGCUGCUCAACAGUCUGAAUUAAUAGCACUAACAAGAGCCUGCCAGUUGGCAAAAGGAAAACCUGGGAAUGGUGCCAGAAAGACACCUGGACACAAAAAGGAGGAAGAUUCAACCCCAGCCCAAAUGGGAGGCCUAUCCUUCUGUUUGGAGCUCAACUCGCUGAAGGUAACUCAUUGGAACCCAGAUAAGAUGAUAUUAUGGGGUAAACAAUAUUUUUGGAAGCCUUCUUUUACAGCAGUUUGAAAGGUCUAUUCAAGAUGUACCAUUUGUGGGCUUCCCUGGUGGUGCAGUGGUUAAGAAUCCGCCAGCCAAUG